GACGAACCGUCCGAACGUUAUUCGGAAUCACUGGGCUUAAAGAGUGCGUAGGCGGCUUAUCAGGCGGGGUGUGAAAUCCCUCGGCCCAACCGAGGAAUUGCGCUCCGAACCGAUAGGCUUGAGGAGGAUAGAGGUAAGCGGAACAUAUGGUGGAGCGGUGAAAUGCGUUGAUAUCAUCUGGAACACCUGUGGCGAAAGCGGCUUACUGGGUCCUUUCUGACGCUGAGGCACGAAAGCCAGGGUAGCGAACGGG
rnacentral:rRNA from 1 species